CGUGAGGGAAAGGUGAAAAGAACCCCGGGAGGGGAGUGAAAGAGAACCUGAAACCGUAUGUCUACAAGCAGUCGGAGCGAAAGCGACGGCGUGCCUAUUGAAGAAUGAACCAACGAGUUACGUGCACUAGCGAGGUUAAGUGGAAGACACGGAGCCGAAGCGAAAGCGAGUCUUAAGAGGGCGGAUAGUUAGUGUACGUAGACCCGAAACCGCAGUGAUCUACCCAUGUCCAGGUUGAAGCGCAGGUAAAAUUGCGUGGAGGACCGAACCUGUGAGCGUUGAAAAGCUUUAGGAUGAGAUGUGGGUAGAGGUGAAAUUCCAAUCGAACGCGGAGAUAGCUGGUUCUCCCCGAAAUAGCUUUAGGGCUAGCCUCAAGUAGUAAGUAUAGGCGGUAGAGCACUGAUCGGGCUAGGGGCCAUAAAGGUUACCGAACCCUGUCAAACUCCGAAUGGUUAUACUGUAGAGCUUGGGAGUCAGACUACGAGUGAUAAGAUCCGUGGUCAAAAGGGAAACAGCCCAGACCACCAGCUAAGGUCCCCAAUGUCGUACUAAGUGGAAAAGGAUGUGGGGUCUCUAAAACAACCAGGAUGUUGGCUUAGAAGCAGCCACCAUUUAAAGAGUGCGUAAUAGCUCACUGGUCGAGAGACCCUGCGCCGAAGAUUACCGGGGCUAAAGUACGAAACCGAAGCUGUGGCUACGACAUAUGUCGUGGGGUAGGGGAGCGUUCUGUGAGGGCUGAAGUCGUUCUGUAAGGAACGGUGGACUUCACAGAAGUGAGAAUGUUGGUAUGAGUAGCGAAAAGAAUGGUGAGAAUCCAUUCCACCGAAAGCAUAAGGAUUCCUGGGCAACGAUCGUCGUCCCAGGGUAAGUCGGGACCUAAUCCGAGGCAUGGAGCGUAGGAGAUGGACAACUGGCAGAUAUUCCAGUACCGGUAAUGAUUGUUUGAGCGAUGGAGUGACACAGGAGGGCAGGCAGGCAGGAGAUUGGUUGUUCCUGUACAAGCGUGUAGGAUGGGACGCAGGCAAAUCCGCGUCCUGUGAGUCUGAGGCGUGAUGUGGAGGUUCCGGAAACGGAACCGAAGCUGCUGACCCCACACUGUCGAGAAAAGCUUCUAGUUAGAGAAUUACCGCCCGUACCGUAAACCGACACAGGUAUGCGGGGAGAGAAUCCUAAGGUGCGCGGGAGAACCCUCGUUAAGGAACUCGGCAAAAUGUACCCGUAACUUCGGGAUAAGGGUAGCCGCUGUUGUGAAGUCUGAACAGACGGAGCAUGAGGCGGUCGCAGAGAAGAGGCCCAAGCGACUGUUUACCACAAACACAGGUGCCUGCUAAAGAGAAAUCUGACGUAUAGGUGCUGACACCUGCCCAGUGCCGGAAGGUUAAGGAAGGAUGUCCGGAGCAAUCCAAAGCAUUCGACCGAAGCCCCGGUGAACGGCGGCCGUAACUAUAACGGUCCUAAGGUAGCGAAAUUCCUUGUCGGGUAAG
rnacentral:rRNA from 1 species